CGAAUGGCGUAACGACUUCCCCACUGUCUCCAGCAUAGACUCAGUGAAAUUGAACUCUCCGUGAAGAUGCGGAGUUCCUGCGGUCAGACGGAAAGACCCCGUGAACCUUUACUGCAGCUUGGCUGUGGCACCGGAAAUAAUAUGUGUAGGAUAGGUGGGAGGCUUUGAAGCAGCGGCGCCAGUCGUUGUGGAGCCAUCCUUGAAAUACCACCCUUAUCUUCGUGGAUGUCUAACUGCGGUCCGUUAUCCGGAUCCAGGACAGUGUGUGGUGGGUAGUUUGACUGG
rnacentral:rRNA from 1 species